GUGACUGGAUUUUCCUCCCCAGUAUGCCUGAAGUCUGAUAACCCAGUGACUCCACUAGGAACCUUCUGGUUCAUAAUAUUGUAAGGGAAGGUCAUGGGCAACCUGUUUCUUUCACUUCAGCCCAUAAUAUCUUGGGAUGUGAAAAGGUUAUGCUUUCAUUUUUGGUUAAGUUUGCAGAACAUUCUGGUGAUAAAGCUGGUGAUGUUCUGGGGAGAGAACAGGGGAGAACUUGUGAGAAAAAGACUGGAAAGGAAAAAUACCUCAAAACCAGCUAACUUUAGUAUUCUUCUUAUUGAUCCCACCAGUAAGAAUAACAGUUGAUGUGCUUUUCCUGCACUAAAUAGAUGGAUUUAUUUCUUGGUAGUAAACAGUGUCUAUGGGAUUAUUUUCAGAUGGCAUUGUGAAGUUUAUGCUUACUCAAACAAUAGGCACUGGAAAGUUGAUGUAAAAAUAUGGUUGGAGUAAAAAUAAAUGUUUUUCUCUAUAUUCUUCCUGCUUCUUGGAACUGGAUGUUUCUUAAAGUGCUGGUGUGAAAGCAAACACUGCCAAAAUGAAGAUAACAGCAGAUACCAUCUCCAUUCCAUGUGUCUACAGAACAGAAAGGGAACUGAUGAUAAGAAAGAAAUCAACUUUAGCUGUUGUUGUUUAAUAUGACCACCAGGAAUGUACCCCCAGACAUGAUAACAACAGCAUCUGUCAUUGAACUGUGCAAGCUCUAUCUGCCUCCUGGCACAUUUCAGAUAUAAACAGUGAGGGCCUCAGCUGAUCUCUUAGGAGUUUGCGCAGCUAACAGCAGCAGCAGAGCUUGAAAAUAAUGCAUCCUCCCUAUGCCAUGGCCUCUCUGAAGAAUAUCCCUCUCCUCCCCAAAAAAUUAAAAAAGGAAGGGUGGAUCAGCAAAGGAGGAGAAUACAGAUGCAUACACAGACACCUGGAUAGGUUUAAAGGCAGGGCCAUCAGUUAAAGCUCCAGAUCAUUUCCUGUGCUGUCCCACCCACAGGUUCGAUGGAACAUGGCAAAGUAACUGCUGAAGCUAUGUGUGAUGGAAAUGGUCAUGCAACAAAGGAAGUGGCAGCAACAGCAAAAAAUAUACUUUCCAAGCAAAACUCUCUGAGCCAUGCUUGUAUGUUGGAAACGCAAUCUGGGGACAGGAGGUUAGAUGAAAACACACUUGUUUGAGAACAGCAGCCCUCUGUUCCUCAGGGCUUGCUCCUGGCCUUGCUCAAGCCAUAGUCUGCUCAGGCAGCUGCUGGCAGCUGCAGCCACCAGCUGUAUCCAAGGGGAUCCCAAGGACAGACCCAGUUCAGCAGCCAUGAAAACAGUACCCUGAAGACAUGAAGCAAUUGUUGAUCUGCAUGCCAUCAAGCCCCAGUACUGAAUAAAGAGAAGAAUAAUCUCUUUUUAUUCACUUUAUCUAUCCUGUUCUCCUUAUUAGAUCUCUUUCCUUGUGAUUAAUUCUCAACCUGGUAUUUUUAAUAACUGUGUAUUUCAUUUGCAUUUGAUACUUAAAGAGGGAGGGAGGAUAAAAGGAUGAAACUCCUAGAAUUAAUGCACACCAACCCCUAACCUUAAACAUUGGUAUUACCCUUCUGUAAGACUAUCCUCUGUCAAGUAACAGUACCCAGGAAAUAAAUACUAGUCUCUUAACAGCUGUCCUGGAGACUACAUCCCUAUUAUGACUCUUCUUGAACAGAGUAAACUAAAUAAAGUUGAAUGAAGUUAUCAGACAUGAUCUCAUAUUCAAAGAGCCAAUGUCACUAAAAUAACAUUCUAAAUUCCACAGUCUAAUGUAAUUAUUAAAGUGGAAUGUGGUCUGUUUAGUACUGUAUUGAUUUAAGCAGCUCUCUCUCGAUUUGUAGCAACCGUGCCACUGCUGGCAUUGAGUUAGCCCUGCUGGUAUACUUACAUCUUGGACAAUAUUUACAAUAUAACAUCUUGAACGAUAUUCACAAUAUAGCAGUGAAUAAUGUCAAUGGCCAAAAUUUAUUAUAUAGAGUUCAAGAUUUUCAGCAAAGUAUUUAAACCUAAUGUUAAAAGUGGAAGGCUUGUGCUUACGGGAAUAAAAGAUGAGAAAUAACAAGAAGGUAUAAAGCAUCAGACACUUCCUUUGCCUGUCUGGAAAAAGCAGUAAAAGUGACUUCUCAUCUUC